AUGGAGGGACAUAAUAUGGGGGAAACGGGGCGGUAACUCACGUGACGACGGGCCGGGUCGUCACAUGUUUCUGGUGGGGUCUGCAGAACUUGAGGUAUGCUUGCUAUAUUUGCUUGAGUUUUGCAUAUUCAACUUCAUGUUUGCUGUUGAUAUUUUUGUACCUAUCACUCUGUCUAACCUCAUAUGCAUGUUUUAUAUUGUUGUUCUCCAACCAUGUAUUGCAAACUGAGGCAGGAAGAGUAAGAAACUCUUUUUGAUAGCUUUUGGCUUAUAUUUGUGUAUCUAUGGCUUAGCAUAAUGCACUUCACAUGAUGCUAGACACUGGGGUUGUCCGGAUAUGAGAUGGAUACUUGUCAUGCGAGAUAUAUCUCAGCUUGUCCACAAAGUCCGGCUUUAAAUGUUUUUUAUUUUUUCAACAAGUUAUUUUAUAGCAUCUUUGAACUCGAAAUGUCGAGAAUUUAUUUUAGUGAAAGAAUCUUCAUUUGAAUAUGAUGAGGUUAAAAGGAUCUUUAAGAACUAGAUUCAAUCCCAAAGAUUGGCAUUUAGGAUGGAGAUGUAUUAAUAAACAACGACCUUGUCUUUCUCAGUUUCAUAUUAGCUUCUCUUAUUCAUUUUAAGUGAUACUUUGCUCCUUGAUGUUCGGUCAAAACCUACACACAAGUACCUAUGUCUGGGAAAUUUGCUUUGCAGUUUUCGUUUCCAUUGCUGGCUUGGUGCAAUUUUUCUUUCUCAUUGGAAAUAUGCAGGUAGAUUCUCUUUCCGGUCUAUUUCAAAGUUCAGGCAAUUAAAAAAUUAUUGUUUACACUAACCUUCACUUCCAACUAAGAGGUUGUGAGUUCGAGUCACCCCAAGAGCAAGGUGGGAAGUUCUUGGAGGGAGGGAUGCCGAGGAUCUAUUGGAAAUAGCCUCUCUACCCCAAGGUCAUAUAGUCUGAUAUUCGAUAAUUUAGCGGGGGGAAGAUUUCAAUAUGACAAAGACUUGCAGAAAUUAUUUGAAGAUUGUUAUUCGUUAAGAUUAGUUAUAUAAUGACAUUAGCUAUUUACUUCAAACAAUAUAAGUUAAACUUUUAA